rnacentral:rRNA from 1 species
UACGUAGGGUGCAAGCGUUAAUCGGAAUUACUGGGCGUAAAGCGUGCGCAGGCGGUUGUGUAAGACAGAUGUGAAAAUCCCCGGGCUCAACCUGGGAACUGCAUUUGUGACUGCACAGCUGGAGUGCGGCAGAGGGGGGAUGGAAUUCCGCGUGUAGCAGUGAAAUGCGUAGAUAUGCGGAGGAACACCGAUGGCGAAGGCAAUCCCCUGGGCCUGCACUGACGCUCAUGCACGAAAGCGUGGGGAG